AGAUCACUUGAGCCCAGGAGUUUGAGGCUGCAGUGAGCUAGGAUUAUGCCACUGCACUCUAGCCUGGGCAACAGAG
rnacentral:snRNA from 1 species